GACGAACGCUGGCGGCGUGCCUAACACAUGCAAGUCGAGCGGAGUUACAUGAGGAGUAAUCUGAGUGUAACUGAGCGGCGGACGGGUGAGUAACGCGUGAGCAACCUGCCUUUUACAGGGGAAUAACGCACCGAAAGGUGCACUAAUACCGCAUGAGACCACAUCCUCGCAUGGGGGAGGGGUCAAAGGAGCAAUCCGGUAGAAGAUGGGCUCGCGUCCGAUUAGGUAGUUGGUGGGGUAACGGCUCACCAAGCCUGAGAUCGGUAGCCGACCUGAGAGGGUGAUCGGCCACACUGGAACUGAGAGACGGUCCAGACUCCUACGGGAGGCAGCAGUGGGGAAUAUUGGGCAAUGGGGGAAACCCUGACCCAGCAACGCCGCGUGAGGGAAGAAGGUUUUCGGAUUGUAAACCUCUGUUCUUGGAGAAGAGAAGAAGACGGUAUCCAAGGAGGAAGCCCCGGCUAACUACGUGCCAGCCGCCGCCGUAA
rnacentral:rRNA from 1 species